GAGUGUGGGGGGACUCGACAAAUAAAUGAUAUUUAUAUAUAUUUUAUAUACAUAAUUAUAGUGGUAGUUGUGGAUUAACUAGUAAAUGAAUGGGCUUAAUGAAACAAACAGAUAUCUACAAGAUAUUAGCCCAAUAACAUAAAAGAAUAAAGCCCAAUGCAAUGCCCAAUCCUUCAAGAAGAAGACCCAAACUCACAUUAGGGCUAGACAAAGGAAGUCUCUGGAAGAGAAGGAAAACACGAAGGCUUUUUCCUUGCACGAACUAGAGAUGAGGAAUCUUUAGAGAUGGGCGAAGAAUGGGUCGAUGGGGACAUUCUCAAAGUCAGAGAAGAGAGCAACAUACCAGGUCGCAUGUGGAAGGAGAGCAACAGAGCAAGUCGUCAGAUGAGGUCGCGAUUUAGGGCCACAGACUUGGUCGCGAUUUAGGGUAGAAGCAGGUGAGGUCGCGAUUUGAAGGACAAGCAGAUGAGGUCGCGAUUUAGGGGAGAAGCAGAUGAGGUUGCGAUGUUGUUUUAACUAAAAAUACAAGUCCCCUCUGCGUCGCCUACGAGUCACAGGAAAAUGCUUACGCACUAGUUGACAAAUCUGUGGGCUUUUUCAAACAGAGUGCAACUUGGCUUGGUUGGUACUAAGGCCCAGGCUCAAGAAUUUUUGCAACCUCUUCACGAUACAAGAGGCUACUUGUAUAUCUUCUAUUUUGGUGGAAUUGGCCAGCAUCUACGGGAGCUGCACCAAAGUGGUAUCGAAGACAUGAGCAGAUGGGGUAAUUCCUGGUCACGAUACCAAGCCCGAUGGCUGGCAUAGUUAUAGAGAUGAUGAGUUUGUUUCAAACUAUGGUGGAACCCGUUGGUAUGAUCAUUCAGGAGCUCACGAUGACAGAGAUUACUGGGCUCGUCCGUUUAUAGGGGUUCAAGAAAAUGGGCAUAGCUACUCUCAAUAUGACCGACAAUAUUCCUAUGAUCAAGAUGUCAGAACUCAUUACUAUCACCAAUUUUCAGUUGAUACAGAAAGUUGAUGUGAUUCUACUCGCAAAGAUAUGCGCGAUUGUUGUGAUGGAUAUGACCGAUCCCGAGAAGGUUACUCCCCAACAAUUGUUACGAGCUCCCUACCUCAACAGAGUGGUAAUGCCUAUCACCUGUUUGACGAAAGGCUUGAACAAACUUUUGCUUCAAAGGCCACCAUAUAUGGAGAAUCUAGUUCAAUGGCUAGCAACAUUCAAGGUGUUCAUAUGACAGCACAAUAAUACCCCAAAAGCAGUGGCUUGAUAUCCUCCAUAGUAUUUUCAAAGAGCUUCGGUCCUUGAGUCAACAAAUGGGCACUUGAACUGAUAGGGUAAGCAUGCUGUUGGCAAACCUUUUUGAGAAACAUAGUCGUGAUAGGGUGAAACAAUUUGAAUUCCAAUCCAAAUAGGUUCCGGAGGUUCUUGAUUUGGUUGAACACAACGGGCAAACGACUAAGACACAAGAAGAAGUUGUGACUGAGACAUAAAAAUGAGUUGUGGUUGAGAAACAAGAAGAAAUUGUUGGUGCAAAGAUGCAGUCAGAAUACGAUGUCCAGGGAAUUGAAAUUGGAAGUUAGGGUGUGAAAACUUGCGAAGCUUAGCUAGCCUUUAGCUCAGGUGAUAUAGGUGGGUUGAUAAAAUUGAACACCCAAUAGCAAGAGGAAUCUACUUUGGUGAACUUCCAUUGUCAUGAGGUUUUGAAACUUAAGGAACUUCCUUAUUGUGUAGUGCAGCAAUAUGUUUCUAAGAAGACGGUGGACGUUCCAGUGGAGCGAUUCCUUAAAGGGCACAAACCUGGUAAAAGCUCAGUUCAUACCAAAGUUGCUUAAUGCUUUCCUAAAUAUGUCGAAGUGUUACAUAACAAUAUUAGUUUGAUACUAGUUCAUCACAACCUGACAGUAUACUCCAUUGUUACAUUUCCAUGUGCAAAUUUUUAUUGGGUGAAAAGUGUAUACUAGUACUCUUACUUGCGGCAUGACCUUGCCAAUUCCUUAUUGGUUUGAAAGAUUUGUUGCUGAACACAAAUGAUGGCUGGAAACUAAACAUAGGUAUGGUAGAUGGGCAUUGUUGUUCACUCCAGUGUCAUCAUAUGAAAGUGUAGUUUGGGUUUUGGUAGUGGUCUUACUUGAUAAUACAAUGGAUGUGUUAUGCCCUGUUGUUGAUCAAGAUAAUUUGUUUGAUAUUACCUUGGUCUUGCUUGAGGACACUACCAGAUUGUCUACUUUGCUCGAGCAGAAAUUAUUCUUCAUCCAUGGAUUAAGGGGGCAUCUACAGAAAGACAUUGCUACUACUUGAAGAGUUUAGGACCAUGGUGGACGCCAUGCUUCAAUUCUAAUUUAUGUGGGUCAAUGUUUACUUGAUGGAGUUGAGUUAUUUUGGGGUGGCAAGGUUUGAUGUAGUGGGCUUUUUCAAACAGAGUGCAACUUGGCUUGGUUGGUACUAAGGCCCAGGUCCAAGAAGUUUAGCAACCUCUUCCUUCACACGAUACAAGAGGAUAGGGCAACCUAGGAGAGCUCAGAUUUUGAUAUUUUGUGAACAUUUGUUCUUAGUUUCUUUCUAGUUUGGGUUCUUCAAUCUCUUGUAUAGGCGAUCAAUCGACAUUAGGGGUUUUCCCCGUUGGCUAGUAAUCUCCUUGCUAUUCUGAUUGUGUAACUUGUUAUUGUAGUUAUAGGUAUUAAGAACCGUGGAAAUGUAUGUAUUUGCUGGAGAUUAGCUUGUGUUUCUUGUACUAAACGAUUGAAGCAUCUGGUAUUAGCCCUUGGUGGCAUUUCUAUGUUGUGAUUUAGAGAAGGUUUGUGUUUUCGGCUAAUUGUAUUUCUUCUACUUUGGUGGAAUUGGCCAGCACCUACAGGAGCUGCACCAAAGGGGUAUCGAAGACAUGAGCAGAUGGGGUAAUUCCUGGUCACGAUACCAAGCCCAACGGCUGGCGUAGUUUCAGAGAUGAUGAGUUUGUUUCAAACUAUGGUGGAACCCGUUGGUAUGCCUAUCACCUGUUUGACGAAAGGCCUGAACCAACUUUUGCUUCAAAGGCCACCAUAUAUGAAGAAUCUAGUUCAAUGGCUGGCACUCAACGAUCAAUGUGUUCAUAUGACAACACAAUAAUACCCCAAAAGCAGUGGCAUGAUAUCCUCCAGAGUAUUUUCGAAGAGCUUCGAUCCCUGAGUCAACAAAUGGGUACUUGGACUGAUAAAGUAAGCAUGCUAUUGGCAAACGUUUCUAAGAAAUAUAGUCGUGAUAGGGUGAAACAAUUUGAAUUCCAAUCGAAAGUGGUUCUGGAGGUUCUCGAUAUGGUUGAGCACAAUGGGCAAACGACUAAGACACAAGAAGUUGUGAUUGAGGCACAAAAUGGAGUUUUGGCUGAGAAACAAGAAGAAAUUGUUGGUGCAAAGAUGCAGUCAUAAUGUGAUGUCCAGGGAUUGAAAUUGGAAGUGUGGGUGUGAUAACUUGCGGAGCUAAGCUAGCCUUUAGCCCUGGUGAUAUUGGUGGAUUGACAAAAUUGAAUACCUAAGAGCAAGGGAAAUCUACUUUGGUCAACUUCCAUAGUUAUAAGGUUUUGAAACUUAAGGAACUUCCUUAUUGUGUAGCGCAACAAUAUGUUUCUAAGAAGAUAGUGGACAUUCCAGUGGAGCGAUUCCUCAGAGGGCACUGGUACGAUAUCACGUUAGUUUGGUAAUUAGUAGGUUAAAUUAGGGCUCUUUAUGUCAUUGGGCAUGUGUAUUUAGCUCUAACUUUUCUUGUGUUAGAGCAGUUAAUGAUUAUGAAUGUUGUGUAAUCUCUCUCUUAGAGAGAGUUGUAAGGAUCGAUCCUUGAAGGAUCGUUCCAUCUGGUAUAAAAGGAAAGUUUCGAUUUUCUUA